CCUACGGGUGGCAGCAGUGGGGAAUAUUGCACAAUGGGCGCAAGCCUGAUGCAGCCAUGCCGCGUGUGUGAAGAAGGCCUUCGGGUUGUAAAGCACUUUCAGCGGGGAGGAAGGCGGUGAGGUUAAUAACCUCAUCGAUUGACGUUACCCGCAGAAGAAGCACCGGCUAACUCCGUGCCAGCAGCCGCGGUAAUACGGAGGGUGCAAGCGUUAAUCGGAAUUACUGGGCGUAAAGCGCACGCAGGCGGUCUGUCAAGUCGGAUGUGAAAUCCCCGGGCUCAACCUGGGAACUGCAUUCGAAACUGGCAGGCUAGAGUCUUGUAGAGGGGGGUAGAAUUCCAGGUGUAGCGGUGAAAUGCGGAGAGAUCUGGAGGAAUACCGGUGGCGAAGGCGGCCCCCUGGACAAAGACUGACGCUCAGGUGCGAAAGCGUGGGGAGCAAACAGGAUUAGAUACCCCAGUAGUC
rnacentral:rRNA from 1 species